AAACAAAUAGUUUUAAAUUAAAAAUAUUAAAUUUCGGUUUUAAAGAUAAAUUUUUUUUUGUUUA
rnacentral:tRNA from 1 species